GUGAGACUUCUGCGGAACAGGACUCCUUCGAUUAUGCAAUAUCUAGCAGCUCUAUACCGAAUGCUUCGGGCGAGCCGAGGGUCUGCAGGAAUGUUACCAUUACUUAUGUAAAAAACUAUUGGAUCCAUCCAGGAGGGCUCAUGGUCGAUGUCCAUGAUACUUAGCUUCUGGGCUAUACUUGGUUCUACAACCAUCUUGAUGUGCACGGUUCUAUCGAGCCCGUCAACACCCAUGAAGACGAGUCUGGAUAAUGCGUUGGCUUUGACAUUUUCGGCUCUGGCUACCUUUAGAAUUUCACAACUUACGAACUGCCUCUGGAGGUCAUGUACUUUCAAACAAUAUAAGCUCAUUUUUUCAUCCUUUCUUUCGAAAGACCCCUCGAUUUGCCUGACCACUAGUUGUGAGUCACUGAAAACUUUGACGUGCUCGCACUCAAGAUUUUUCGCGAGUUCUAGGGCUAUAACAACGGCUUCGUACUCUGCUUCUUUAUUGGUAGCCUGGAAUUCAAAUCUAAGAGCGCAUUGUAUCUCUGUAAUCUUGUCCGGACUUGUGAUAAUAACGCCAGCCCGCGAGCCCGAGCUAUUGGAUGCUCCGUUAACAAAAAUUUCCCAUAUUCCUGAGGUCGAGUUCGGGCUCCCGACUGGUGUUUCUGAGGAUCUCAGAGUAAGCUCUGCUAUGAAGUCGGCUAAAGCUUGGGCUUUGAUUGCAGGUCGUGGUUUGAAUUCUAUGUCAAAUUCGCCGAGUUCAAUUGCCCAUUUCAGCAGUCUUCUUGAGACGUCCGGCUUCUGAAGUAUAUGUCUGAGAGGUUGGUUGGUGAGCACAACAAUUGAAUGUGACUGGAAGUAUGACCGCAAUUUUCUAGCAGUCAUUAC
rnacentral:lncRNA from 1 species